AUCCAAAUAGACCAUUUUGAACACUUUAUUCGUAUUGUCAAAGUUGGCUCACUCAUGAUUAAAAACUUCGUACAACAGGAUUAUAGACCACUACAUAUUUCUUUGCAGUACGCAUAGUUUUGUUUUAUUUUUUCAAAAAAUCGAUAUUUCGGUCGGAUAUUUCUUAGUGUAAUAGUAAAAUCACAAAAACAAAUAGGUACUCUUUCCGUUUUAUAAUUUUUGUCUCAAAUGGUCAUGCAACAGAGGGGAUACUCUACUGCUCCAAAUUCGAUGGGGGCAAUUCCGAAGCUACGGAUACAAGUGCGGUUUCCAUGGUGGUCUCCGCCCCUCUCUGCCAGGGCGUCCUGCCCUUCCCCGUCACCGCCGCCGCCAGGGAUUCCUCUGCGGGAUCCCGGAGGGGAAGGCUGUGCAUCGCCGCCGGCUGCCGCUCCGGUCCGGCCACCGCGCCCACGAACGCUGCUCCGGUGGCCGAUGCUGCCCCCGUCAGCAGGAGGAGUUCUAUUCAAAGGCCGUCCAAUCGUUUCUACCUACGGAGUAGCCCAAAUGCGUUGAUCAUGAGUUCUUUUAAUGGUUUGUGGUGAUGAUGGUGAUAGAAGCAUCAGCAGUUCAGCACAACGUUUCUGAAUUGCUGUCCUGCACAAAAUUGAUCAUUAUGUAUUUCAUUUGAAGGUGUGAAUGCUUUGAUCUCCAUCAGUAGAUAGUUCCUUUUGCUGAAUCAUGGGCUAUGCAGAAAGCCAUUGUUACAAGGAGGAAAAUGUUGGUAAGCAUAGAAGAAGCUGAAGAUCACCUGGACACGUCGCACUGCAACAUCGCCUGUUUAUACAUUGGGCACCAGCAGCAGGGAGGAGUACCUCCAUUUCAAUGUAGAAGAUGCUCCCUUUGAGAUUCAUCGCAUUGACCGCGGUGACAUAUCAUGGCCCUGGACAGGUAUUUAUCAGCUAAAUUCGUUGUAUUGUGUACCUGGAAGGCUGGAAAUGCAAUUCACAUUUUUGUACCUGCGCUCGCUAACACCGCAAUAUCCAUGCUUCUCACAAUCACUUCUUUUCAUUCAUUAGCUUGUUAUGUACCUGAUUCUGAAUUUGCGGUAUCAGAAAAUUGAUAGGAAAGGUUACCUCAGGGCACUUGAAAAAGUGAUCAUCCGUGCCCUUCAAUCCGCAUUUUCUAUUAAGGCGUCAACAAAAAAAGGUCUCACUGGUGUUUCGGUUGGUAUGUUGCUUUUUGAAUACUGCAAACUGUUUUAUCAUGUUAUUGCAUACUCUAAUGUAUAUGACCACUCUAUUUCCUCUCCAGGGGAUCAGAAAGUUGCAGGAAUAGGAAUUCAUGUCUCACGACACAUAACAUAUCAUGGUCUAGAACUAAAUGUCACAACUGACUUAACCCCUUUUGAAAGUAUCAUUCCCUGUGGCAUAAAGGACCGUGGUGUCGGGAGCAUUAAGGAGAUAUUACAAAAGUCUUCCAAGGGAACAAAGCUUAAUGAUGAAGAACUUAUGGACAUAGCUUAUAAAUCAUUGAUCCAAGAGUUUUCUGAGGAUUUCCAGCUCUCUAUAGAGCUCAGCCCUGAUUUUUAUAUUCAGCAAGACAACAAUAUCAAGUAACGGCAGCAUGUUUUAUUAGAUCAUAGAACUACACUUCAACGAAGAAGUGCACAAGCAGAUAGCAUAUACAAGCUUUAUUCAGAUGUGUAACCUCCUUCAAUCCAA